rnacentral:ribozyme from 1 species
AGAAAUGCAAUGCCACUAAGGUGAUGGAUCCGACUCCUCUCGAAGGAUAAUAUAGGCUCUCCUCCCCACUCCUACUCAAUACGUCCAAGGCGUACAGAACGGUAACGUACCACUCCGAAUAUCCAAGCUUGGGU